rnacentral:rRNA from 1 species
UGUCGGAUUAAGUGCCAUAACGAGCGCAACCCUUGCUGUCAGUUGCCAUCAGGUAGAGCUGGGCACUCUGGCGGGACUGCCAUCGCAAGAUGUGAGGAAGGUGGGGAUGAAGUCAAAUCAGCACGGCCCUUACGUCCGGGGCUACACACGUGUUACAAUGGGGGGUACAGAAUGUUGCUUACGGGUGACCGUUGGCGGAUCAUUAAAUCCCCUAUCAGUUCGGAAUGGAGUCUGCAACCCGACUCCACGAAGCUGGAUUUGUUAGUAAUCGCGCAUCAGCCAUGGCGCGGUGAAUACGUUCCCGGGCCUUGUACACACCGCCCGUCAAGCCAUGAAAGCCGGGGGCGCCUGAAGUCCGUUACC